UAUAAGAUUUCUAGAAGUACAAAGACAAGAGAGGAUCUGCUGUUUCCAGUCUAUGAUCACUUGAGAAACUCUCCAAGUUUGAAUAAACCCAACAAUAUUGAUAGAUGUAAUCAUAAGACACCAAGCUAUUGACUCUACUCGUAUUCAAGAAACGUCGACCAAUCUAAGUGGAGACACCUGUCGUGCUUGU